CUCCCAUUAAGAAUGUAAUGCUAAUACAUGUGGAAAUGGGAAAUGUGGUUUCACAACAGGCCCGGGGCGGGGUGGGAUUCAAACGGCAUAAAGAAUCAAACAUGCUGCAACUGCACCAAACGUUACAUUCGCUGGGUGUCAACGGAGUUGUUUCCAUGUACUGUAAACGGGUGAGGCGGAUGAGGGUUACAGACGCAUUGCCUCACCCGAAGCCCAAGGCUAAGCUGCAAUGAGUUGGAAUGAGCCCAGAGAGGGAGGAAUCUCAACUACUGGGACACUCCUCCAGUUCAAACAUACACUUUUCCUUCAGGGCGGUGGGGCUGUUUUUUUUUUUUUUUAGGCAUAUGACCUGUUUCUAGUGUCUGUUUUCCCAUCAUGUCACAUUACUCGUUUUAAACCUAUAGACUAACACACUUCAUUUGAGGUUUGAUAGUGAGUUUAUUAAAAAAAAGGGAGAAAGAAAAAAAAAGGACUGGCUGAUUCAUUCCUGUGUAAU
ensembl:lncRNA